UAGUUUCUUGACAAUUCUUCUUGUUCUUGUAGAGCUGAAAAGAUGAACAAUUCUUCCACUCCUGAUCAUCAGAAAGAUGGUGACGAUGAUAAAGCAGCAAUGAAUGAGGAUGGCGCAGCAGAGAUUAUCGGUUCAUCUUCUGAUACAGCAGCAAUGAAUGAGGAUGGCGCAGCAGAGAUUAUCGGUUCAUCUUCUGAUGCAGCAGCAAUGAAUGAGGAUGGAGCAGCAGAGAUUAUCGGUUCAUCUUCUGAUGCAGCAGCAAUGAAUGAGGAUGGAGCAGCAGAGAUUAUCGGUUCAUCUUCUGAUGCAGCAGCA
rnacentral:lncRNA from 1 species